AUACCCGUUCCCUUCCCGAACACGGAAGUCAAGCCCUCUAACGCCGAUGAUACUGACCCUCUAAAGGCCGGGAAAGUAGGUAGUCGCCAGAC
rnacentral:rRNA from 1 species